UACGGAGGGUGCAAGCAUUAAUCGGAAUUAUUGGGCGUAAAGGGCGCGUAGGCGGGUCAGUAAGUCAGAUGUGAAAUCCCGGAGCUUAACUCCGGAACAGCAUUUGAAACUGCUAGCCUAGAGGGUAGGCGGAGAAAACGGAAUUCCACAAGUAGCGGUGAAAUGCGUAGAUAUGUGGAAGAACACCUGUGGCGAAAGCGGUUUUCUAGCUUAUUCCUGACGCUGAGGCGCGAAAGCAAGGGGAGCAAACAGG
rnacentral:rRNA from 1 species